GGAAUAUUGGACAAUGGGGGAAACCCUGAUCCAGCGACGCCGCGUGAGUGAAGAAGUAUUUCGGUAUGUAAAGCUCUAUCAGCAGGGAAGAUGAUGACGGUACCUGACUAAGAAGCACCGGCUAAAUACGUGCCAGCAGCCGCGGUAAUACGUAUGGUGCAAGCGUUAUCCGGAUUUACUGGGUGUAAAGGGAGCGUAGGCGGCCGUGCAAGUCAGGCGUGAAAGCCCGGGGCUCAACCCCGGGACUGCGCUUGAAACUGCGUGGCUGGAGUACAGGAGAGGCAGGCGGAAUUCCUAGUGUAGCGGUGAAAUGCGUAGAUAUUAGGAAGAACACCGGUGGCGAAGGCGGCCUGCUGGACUGGAUACUGACGCUGAGGCUCGAAAGCGUGGGGAGCAAACA
rnacentral:rRNA from 1 species